UACGGGGGGGGCAAGCGUUGUUCGGAAUUACUGGGCGUAAAGGGCGCGUAGGUGGUUUGCUAAGUUGGAUGUGAAAACUCUGGGCUUAACCCAGAGCCUGCAUCCAAAACUGGCAAACUUGAGUACUGGAGGGGAAAGCGGAAUUCCUGGUGUAGCGGUGAAAUGCGUAGAUAUCAGGAGGAACACCGGUGGCGAAGGCGGCUUUCUGGACAGUAACUGACGCUGAGGCGCGAAAGCUAGGGGAGCAAACAGG
rnacentral:rRNA from 1 species